UGGUGAGGGCUCUGUUUACGCCCAACCUGAGUCCAGGAUGGGAAGCCCACUAAGUUAGGGCUGGGUUUGUAUGAAAAGGUUCCUGACUAACUGUGGUUACGAGGGGGAAAAGGUCCCUAUUUUCAGAGGUUGCUCAUUUCUCUGGUCAGGAACAGUGUCUCCUCCGCAGCGGAAGGUUGGAUUCAGGAGGAUGACUCCAGGUGGUCAGUUGCUUACCUUCCUGCCAUUUUUUUUCCUUCUCUCUCUCUCUCUUCUCUUGUGUGUUGGCCAACUUUCUCACUCUUUCUUCUCCUGUCCUCGUGCCAUCUCCCUUCAUACGACAUGGGCAUGCGUGCUAGCUGUGCAUCCCCACAGGCCAGGUCUUGGGAGCCAUGGAGAAGUAGGAGGGGACGAAAACCAUGCAGGGCUGUGUCUGUUGGUGUUAACUCGGUCUCUGUUCAUUGAGUGGGGCUGAUGUAGAUGGGAUUGGAGAGGGAGGCCAGGAUGAGGGCAAGAUUUGAAGCAACAAAUAGAGCUCUAAGUAGUGAUGGGUCAUGCUUGGCUUUUGCAGCUUCGCUUCCAGAGGAAUUUUCCAAGAGCCCUAUCCUGAGGAGAAAGUGGCACUAGUGGACAUGAGCAGACGGGACAUCAUUGUCAGCAGACAUGAACAGUCCUCAGCUUUCUGACUCCCGCAUAACUGGCUGUGAGACCGAGGGAAAAGAAGUCACGCCUCAGAGUCUCAAGCCUUCAUGCGAUGGAAAGCGAGCCAGAGCGACGAGACAGUGAGCAUUGUUGAUGCCAGGCAAGAGUCGUCUAUCUGGGAUGCAAGCACACGCCACUCUCAGUGAGAUAAGUGUCUGGUUUGGUGAUUGCUGUGCUCACGGCCCACCUUGCUCCUGCUAGGGACGCCACAUUAUCUGGGGCUGGGUUUGUAAGAAAUGGUUCCUGACCAGCUGUGCUUUUCAAGAGAGACAAGGUCCCCAUUUUCAGGGCCUGCUCAUUUCUCUGGCCAGGAGCGGUGUCUCCUAUGCAGCGGAAGGUUGCAUCUAGGAGGAUGGCUCCAGGUGGUGAGUUGCUUGCCUUCCUCCCAUGUCUGUCUGUCUCUCUCUUCUCUAUUGUGUUGGCCAACUUUCUCACUGUCUCUCCUCUACUCUCCUCUCCUUUCCUUGUGCCGUCUCCCUUCGUAGGACACGGGCAGGCAUGCUAGGUGUGCGUCCCUACAGGCCAGAUCUCGGGAGUCGCGGACAAAAAUCAUGGGGGCAGUGGGUGCGAGAGUGGAGCGGUGACUGUCGGUGUUAACUCGGUCUCUGUUCAUUGAACGGGGCCGAUGUAGAUGGGACUGGAGAGAGAGGCAGGGAUGAGGGCAAGAUUUCCAGCAGCAACAGAGCUCUGUGUAGUGAUGGUUCUUGCUUGGCUUUAUUAGUUCGCAGAGGAAUCGUCCAGGAGCCCUAGCCGCACAAGAAUAUGGCGGAAGUGGACCUGAGCAGCCUGGACGUCCUUCUAAGGAGACAUGAAUAGGCCUCAAGUUUCUGCCUUCUGCAUCGCUGGCUGUGAGUAAGAGCUGGGUUUAGUACUGAGGGAAACGAAGUCACGCGUCAGAGUCUACUCCCCUUAUGCGAUGGAAAGCAAGCGAGAGCAUCGAGACUCCGAGCAUUGUUGAUGCCACGCAAAAGCCGUCCCUCUGGGAGCCGAGGAGACUCCGCUGUCAGUGAGAUAAGUGUCUGGUUUCAUGAGGGCUCUGCUCACGCCCAACCUGAGUCCCGGUGGGGAAGCCUACUAAGUUUGGGCUGGGCUUUUAUGAUAAGGUUCCUAACUAGCUGUGGUCACGAGGGAGAAGAGGUCCCUAUUUUGAGAGGUUGCUCAUUUCUCUGGUCAGGAAUGGUGUCUCCUCCACAGCAGAAGGUUGCAUCCAGGAAGAUGACUCCACGUGCUUCGCUUCCCGGGGAAUUUUCCAAGAGCCCUAUCCUGAGGAGAAAGUGGCAGAAGUGGACAUGAGCAGACGGGACAUCCUUGUCAGCAGACAUGAACAGUCCUCCGCUUUCUGACUCCCGCAUUACUGGCUGACUGAGGUAACAGAAGUCACACCUCAGAGUCUCAAGCCCUCAUGCGAUGGAAACCGAGCCAGAGCGACGAGACAGUGAGCAUUGUUGAUGCCACGCAAAAGCCGUCCAACUGGGUGGGGAACGGCCGCCACUCUCAGUGAGAUAAGUGUCUGGUUUG